GACAGAGGGUGCAAACGUUGUUCGGAAUUACUGGGCGUAAAGCGCGUGUAGGCGGCGUAGCAAGUCGGGCGUGAAAGCCCACGGCUCAACCGUGGAAGAGCACUCGAAACUGCUGCGCUAGAGUUCUGGAGAGGAAGGCGGAAUGCUUGGUGUAGAGGUGAAAUUCGUAGAUAUCGAGAGGAACACCAGUGGCGAAGGCGAGUCUCUGGACAUUUCCUGACGCUGAGGCACGAAAGCCAGGGGAGCAAACGGG
rnacentral:rRNA from 1 species